ACCAACUCCUAGGCCGCCGUCGGCGACACCUCUUCUCCACCAAGUGUUCGAGAGCCCCACAAUUCAUGAACAGUUUCUGCGUACUUAGCAUUCAAGGAGCAGCUUGUUGAUGAGCAGUUUGUUUCAGGAUGAAAUCUUAGCAGUUGUAGUUGUCGAUUCGUCAUCUUGGUAGUUGUGCUCAACAACACAAGUCAUGCCAUGCAUAUUCAGCAGCAAGCAACCGACAUAUCAAUCUAAUGCCACCAGAUGCAGCAAGAACCCGGCGAUUCUAUCUAAUGAAGUUGCAAGCAAACAUCCUGUGCAGAUGCAGCAGCAAGCAGGAAGCUGCUCAUAAAACAAUCAAUCAACCUACUUGUAGCUAGCUAGCUUAUAGGUACAGAGUGCGUAUAUAUCCUUCCAUUUAAUCAAUCUAAUGCUCUAGAACAACAUAUAUAUUAUUUGAAUUGGCAGGGGAAUCAUUCA